rnacentral:pre_miRNA from 1 species
GUCACCAGGGGAUCUUGUUAAAAUGUAGAUUUUGAUUUGGCAAGUUUGGAGUGAAGCCCAAGAUUCUGCAUUUCUAGUAAGCUCCCCGCUGAUGCCAA